rnacentral:rRNA from 1 species
AAAUUGAAGAGUUUGAUCAUGGCUCAGAUUGAACGCUGGCGGCAGGCCUAACACAUGCAAGUCGAACGGUAACAGGAAACAGCUUGCUGUUUCGCUGACGAGUGGCGGACGGGUGAGUAAUGUCUGGGAAACUGCCCGAUGGAGGGGGAUAACUACUGGAAACGGUAGCUAAUACCGCAUAACGUCGCAAGACCAAAGAGGGGGACCUUCGAGCCUCUUGCUAUCGGAUGUGCCCAGAUGGGAUUAGCUAGUAGGUGGGGUAACGGCUCACCUAGGCGACGAUCCCUAGCUGGUCUGAGAGGAUGACCAGCCACA